UUAAGUUCAGCGGGUAGUCCUACCUGAUUUGAGGUCAAGCAUUCAAGAAGGUGUCUCUUAAACAGAGACAGUUAGAAGCUGAAUAACCCAGAGAGCAAUCCCCUCGCCAGUGUAGAUAAUUUAUCACACUUGUGGCAGAUCGCAAACGGUUCCGCUAAUGCAUUUCAGAGGAGCUGGCCUCAAAUAAGUGACCAGCAAGC
rnacentral:misc_RNA from 1 species